GUUCCACACUCAGGGAGAGCCUUUUCCAGGGGCCGGGUCGCUGUUCAGGGUGGAAUCUGGCUGUUCAGUUAACCGAAGAAGCUCUGACAACAAAGAAACACCCUUUUCCUGAGGGGGUUACAAGACCCAUCCAUGGAGGAAAAUGCCACUGUUUAAUAUUAAGACCUCUGCACCUCGUCACUCCAAGAGCGUGGAGAAAAAAGUUACAGAGGGGUUUGAGACAAGGCAAGUAUAAACCCUUCUGAAUGAUAGUGGACUGAUCCUUCUGGAAGUGAUUCAAACACAUCAACAAAAGAACUCGAUCUCAAAAAAAAAUGGCACGUGGCAUCUUAGUUCCCUGAAUGGGGAUCGAACCCACACCCCCUGCAUUGGAAGCCCGCAGUCUUAACCAAUGGACCAUCAGGGAGGUCCUUCCCGUGUUACUUUAAAGGCUCAUCAUUUUGUGAAGGAUCAGCGCUUGUCAAGCUGAAAGGCAAGAGUGAGCGCUGACUGAGGCUUCAAACUUGGUGCCUGGAGGGUGUGGAGCGGAAGUGGGGGUGUCAGUCCUGGGGUGGGGGUGUCAG